rfam:Branchiostoma floridae genomic scaffold BRAFLscaffold_18, whole genome shotgun sequence.
GCUAAGACUUUUUCUUGUUCGGUACAGCUCCGAGACUUUGGAAUCAUAGCUGGCUGGCGAAGAAAUGCCCUUCCA